rnacentral:rRNA from 1 species
AUUGAACGCUGGCGGCAGGCCUAACACAUGCAAGUCGAACGAGUGGCGGACGGGUGAGUAAUGCAUGGGGAUCUGGCUUAUGGAGGGGGAUAACUACGGGAAACUGUGGCUAAUACCGCGUACCAUAGGAUGAGCCCAAGUGGGAUUAGGUAGUUGGUGAGGUAAAGGCUCACCAAGCCGACGAUCUCUAGCUGGUCUGAGAGGAUGACCAGCCACACUGGGACUGAGACACGGCCCAGACUCCUACGGGAGGCAGCAGUGGGGAAUAUUGCGCAAUGGGGGCAACCUGACGCAGCCAGGCCGCGUGAAUGAAGAAGGCCUUCGGGUUGUAAAGUUCUUUCGGUGGCGAGGCGUUAACCACAGAAGAAGCACCGGCUAACUCCGUGCCAGCCGCCGCGGUAAUUC